rnacentral:tRNA from 1 species
GCGGUCGUGGUGAAGCGGUUAACACACCGGAUUGUGGCUCCGGCACUCGAGGGUUCGAAUCCCUUCGAUCGCCCCA